rnacentral:rRNA from 1 species
AACGAACGCUGGCGGCAUGCCUAACACAUGCAAGUCGAACGAGACCUUCGGGUUUGGUGGCGCACGGGUGCGUAACGCGUGGGAACCUGCCUUUAGGUUUGGCAUAACUCCCCGAAUGGGGUGCUAAUACCGGAUAAAGUCUUCGGACCAAAGAUUGAUCGCCUUUGGAUGGGCCCGCGUGGGAUUAGCAAGUUGGUAGGGUAAAAGCCUACCACGGCGACGAUCCAUAGCUGGUCUGUGAGGAUGAUCAGCCACACUGGGACUGAGACACGGCCCAGACUCCUACGCGAGGCAGGAGUGGGGAAUAUUGGACAAUGGGCGAAAGCCUGAUCCAGCAAGGCCGCGUGAGUGAUGAAGGCCGUAGGGAUGUAAAGCUCUUUUACCCGGGAUGAUAAUGACAGUACCGGGAGAAUAAGCACCGGCUAACUCCGUG